UCCACGCCCUAAACGAUGUUCACUAGUCGUCGGAAUGCUAGUCAUUUCGGUGAUGCACUUAACAGAUUAAGUGAACCGCCUGGGGAGUACAGAGAGUUGCGAUACCGCGAGGUGGAGCUAAUCUCAUAAAGCGUCUCUCAGUUCGGAUUGUUCUCUGCAACUCGAGAGCAUGAAGCUGGAAUCACUAGUAAUCGUAGAUCAGCAAUGCUACGGUGAAUACGUUCCCGGGUCUUGUACUCACCGCCCGUCACACCAUGGGAGUUGAUUUCACCCGAAAUUGGGAAGCUAACCUUCGGGGGCUACCACUUACGGUGGAAUUAGCGACUGGGGUGAAGUCGUAAC
rnacentral:rRNA from 1 species